rnacentral:rRNA from 1 species
CAGUUAGAAAUGACUGCUAAUACCGCAUAAGCGCACAGGGUCGCAUGACCUAGUGUGAAAAACUCCGGUGGUAUGAGAUGGACCCGCGUCUGAUUAGCUAGUUGGUGAGGUAACAGCCCACCAAGGCGACGAUCAGUAGCCGACCUGAGAGGGUGAUCGGCCACAUUGGGACUGAGACACGGCCCAAACUCCUACGGGAGGCAGCAGUGGGGAAUAUUGCACAAUGGGGGAAACCCUGAUGCAGCGACGCCGCGUGAAGGAAGAAGUAUUUCGGUAUGUAAACUUCUAUCAGCAGGGAAGAAAAUGACGGUACCUGACUAAGAAGCCCCGGCUAACUACGUGCCAGCAGCCGCGGUAAUACGUAGGGGGCAAGCGUUAUCCGGAUUUACUGGGUGUAAAGGGAGCGCAGGCGGGAGAACAAGUUGGAAGUGAAAUCCAUGGGCUCAACCCAUGAACUGCUUUCAAAACUGUUUUUCUUGAGUAGUGCAGAGGUAGGCGGAAUUCCCGGUGUAGCGGUGGAAUGCGUAGAUAUCGGGAGGAACACCAGUGGCGAAGGCGGCCUACUGGGCACCAACUGACGCUGAGGCUCGAAAGUGUGGGUAGCAAACAGGAUUAGAUACCCUG